rnacentral:pre_miRNA from 1 species
GCUGAACUCUCGUGGGUCUGCAGUAUUUACAAGCGGCCACAUCGUUCAUGUAGCACCAUGAGAUUCAGCUC